rnacentral:lncRNA from 1 species
AUGUUCGACGACCUGGCAGGACCAACUGGAUGCCAUGCUGGAGUGAGGGGCGCGACGGCCCCGCGAACCUCAGGGCUUACGUGGGCACAAGGGCACAACGAUCCACGACCUCCCGGCCCCGCCGCCCCCUCCCCGUCCCCUUUGUACAGCCGUCCCCUCCCGGACAUCCCAUCCCUCGGGGUUUGCACAAAGAAGAAGAUACCUCAGGAUUGUGCUCACGGACUCGGCGCCCGCUCGCCGCCCCGCGACGGCUCUGGCAGGACUCCCUUUUGCAGAAGCAAAAAAAAAAAACAACCAACAAACCACAACAGAAGAAACAAAGCAACACGACCCAGCCCCAAACGCCCCCUUCUCGCCGGCUGUGGGGGCACCGGGGGUUCUCCUCUACCUACCUGGCCGGUGGCCACAGCCCCCCGGCCCCGCGGCCGCUGCCUUUGUGCCCGUGCCCUGCCGGCCCCGGCCCCGAAUGUAGCACAACCCCGGCACGUUGGCCACGCUGCUUCCUCCGCUCCCUUCAGCAGACGGCCUUUGUCCGUCCAUCUGUCUGUCCGUCCGUGCCGGGGGGCUGGCGCGGUGGCCGUGCCGAUUUGUUCUGGUGGGGAGUCCGGAUGGGCAACUUGGGUUUCUUUUCUCUCUUUUUUUUUUUUUCCCCUUUCUCUCUCUCUCUCUCUCUUUUUUUUUUUUUUUAAAUAUUCUUUUUUAGUUUCCAGUUUUUCCGUCGUCGUUUGCGAGUGGCGGGGCGGGCAGGGCGCGGGGCCAUGGUGCCGGACCAGGCUGCGGGGGCUGCCCCGCUCCCCGUGCCCCCCGCAGCACCGGGACCCCCGCGCCAGGGCCCCGAGCUCCGCAGAGGGGUGCUGCAGGCGCUGCCAGUGCUUCCUCGCGUGGGGUCUUCCCUUCGGGUGUGGGGAGGGGAUUUCUGUUUGCACCAGUUGCAAACUGGUGAGCGAGCACCCUGCGUCUGGGGCGAGCGGGGGGCAGCGGGCCGUGCCCCUGCCCGGCCCCCUCGCCGCCAGGGGAGAGGCCGUAAUAAGCUAUACAGAAGUAUUAAUUUAUUGGAGGGGAAAACAAACGAGAGGUAUAAAAUGGAUUUCCCCCGCCCCCCAAAUAAUAAAAAAGAAUAAACUUUAA